rnacentral:rRNA from 1 species
UACGAAGGGGGCUAGCGUUGCUCGGAAUCAUUGGGCGUAAAGCGCACGUAGGCGGUUCGUUAUGUCGGAUGUGAAAGCCCUUGGCUUAACCGAGGAAGUGCAUCCGAAACUGGCGAGCUAGAGUACGAAAGAGGAUCGCGGAAUUCCCGGUGUAGAGGUGAAAUUCGUAGAUAUCGGGAGGAACACCAGUGGCGAAGGCGGCGAUCUGGGAAGAUACUGACGCUGAGGUGCGAAAGCGUGGGGAGCAAACAGG